UACGUAUGGUGCAAGCGUUAUCCGGAAUGACUGGGUGUAAAGGGAGCGUAGACGGUUGUUCAAGUCUGAUGUGAAAGCCCUCGGCUUAACUGGGGGAGUGCAUUGGAAACUGAAGGACUAGAGUAUCGGAGAGGCAAGUGGAAUUCCUAGUGUAGCGGUGAAAUGCGUAGAUAUUAGGAGGAACCCCAGUGGCGAAGGCGGCUUGCUGGACGAAAACUGACGUUGAGGCUCGAAAGCGUGGGGAGCAAACAGG
rnacentral:rRNA from 1 species